AUUGAACGCUGGCGGCAGGCCUAACACAUGCAAGUCGAGCGGUAGCACAGAGAGCUUGCUCUCGGGUGACGAGCGGCGGACGGGUGAGUAAUGUCUGGGAAACUGCCUGAUGGAGGGGGAUAACUACUGGAAACGGUAGCUAAUACCGCAUAACGUCGCAAGACCAAAGUGGGGGACCUUCGGGCCUCAUGCCAUCAGAUGUGCCCAGAUGGGAUUAGCUGGUAGGUGGGGUAACGGCUCACCUAGGCGACGAUCCCUAGCUGGUCUGAGAGGAUGACCAGCCACACUGGAACUGAGACACGGUCCAGACUCCUACGGGAGGCAGCAGUGGGGAAUAUUGCACAAUGGGCGCAAGCCUGAUGCAGCCAUGCCGCGUGUGUGAAGAAGGCCUUCGGGUUGUAAAGCACUUUCAGCAGGGAGGAAGGCGGUGAGGUUAAUAACCUCACCGAUUGACGUUACCCGCAGAAGAAGCACCGGCUAACUCCGUGCCAGCAGCCGCGGUAAUACGGAGGGUGCAAGCGUUAAUCGGAAUUACUGGGCGUAAAGCGCACGCAGGCGGUCUGUCAAGUCGGAUGUGAAAUCCCCGGGCUCAACCUGGGAACUGCAUUCGAAACUGGCAGGCUAGAGUCUUGUAGAGGGGGGUAGAAUUCCAGGUGUAGCGGUGAAAUGCGUAGAGAUCUGGAGGAAUACCGGUGGCGAAGGCGGCCCCCUGGACAAAGACUGACGCUCAGGUGCGAAAGCGUGGGGAGCAAACAGGAUUAGAUACCCUGGUAGUCCACGCUGUAAACGAUGUCGAUUUGGAGGUUGUGCCCUUGAGGCGUGGCUUCCGGAGCUAACGCGUUAAAUCGACCGCCUGGGGAGUACGGCCGCAAGGUUAAAACUCAAAUGAAUUGACGGGGGCCCGCACAAGCGGUGGAGCAUGUGGUUUAAUUCGAUGCAACGCGAAGAACCUUACCUGGUCUUGACAUCCACAGAACUUUCCAGAGAUGGAUUGGUGCCUUCGGGAACUGUGAGACAGGUGCUGCAUGGCUGUCGUCAGCUCGUGUUGUGAAAUGUUGGGUUAAGUCCCGCAACGAGCGCAACCCUUAUCCUUUGUUGCCAGCGGUCCGGCCGGGAACUCAAAGGAGACUGCCAGUGAUAAACUGGAGGAAGGUGGGGAUGACGUCAAGUCAUCAUGGCCCUUACGACCAGGGCUACACACGUGCUACAAUGGCAUAUACAAAGAGAAGCGACCUCGCGAGAGUAAGCGGACCUCAUAAAGUAUGUCGUAGUCCGGAUUGGAGUCUGCAACUCGACUCCAUGAAGUCGGAAUCGCUAGUAAUCGUAGAUCAGAAUGCUACGGUGAAUACGUUCCCGGGCCU
rnacentral:rRNA from 1 species